rnacentral:rRNA from 1 species
AGUGGCGAACGGGUGAGUAACGCGUAGACAACCUGCCUUCCAGAUGGGGACAACAUCCCGAAAGGGGUGCUAAUACCGAAUACGAUCAUGUUGGUGCAUACUAAUAUGAAGAAAGGUGGCCUCUGAACAUGCUACCGCUGGAAGAUGGGUCUGCGUCUGAUUAGCUAGUUGGUGAGGUAACGGCUCACCAAGGCGACGAUCAGUAGCCGGUCUGAGAGGACGAACGGCCACACUGGGACUGAGACACGGCCCAGACUCCUACGGGAGGCAGCAGUGGGGAAUCUUCCGCAAUGGACGAAAGUCUGACGGAGCAACGCCGCGUGAGUGAAGAAGGUUUUCGGAUCGUAAAGCUCUGUUUUUCGGGACGAACGAUCUCCAUGUAAAUAAUGUGGAGAAGUGACGGUACCGAAGGAGGAAGCCACGGCUAACUACGUGCCAGCAGCCGCGGUAAUACGUAGGCGGCGAGCGUUGUCCGGAAUUAUUGGGCGUAAAGGGCGCGUAGGCGGGAUAGUCAGUCUGUUGUAAAAGUUCGGGGCUCAACCCCGUGAAGCAAUGGAAACUGCUAUUCUUGAGUGCAGGAGAGGAAAGUGGAAUUCCCAGUGUAGCGGUGAAAUGCGUAGAUAUUGGGAGGAACACCAGUGGCGAAGGCGACUUUCUGGACUGUGUCUGACGCUGAGGCGCGAAAGCCAGGGGAGCGAACGGGAUUAGAUACCCCGGUAGUCCUGGCC